rnacentral:misc_RNA from 1 species
GAUGAAGAACGUAGCGAAAUGCGAUAAGUAAUGUGAAUUGCAGAAUUCAGUGAAUCAUCGAAUCUUUGAACGCACAUUGCGCCCGCCAGUAUUCUGGCGGGCAUGCCUGUUCGAGCGUCAUUUCAACCCUCAGGCCCCCAGUGCCUGGUGUUGGGGAUCGGCCCAGCCUUCCUGUAAGGCCGCCGGCCCCGAAAUCUAGUGGCGGUCUCGCUGUAGUCCUCCUCUGCGUAGCAGCACAACCUCGCAGUUGGAACGCGGCGGUGGCCAUGCCGUUAAACACCCCACUUCUGAAAGUUGACCUCGGAUCAGGUAGGAAUACCCGCUGAACUUAAGCAUAUCAAUAAGCGGAGGA